CCUCGUCCUUUCCGAGCUUGUGCCGCGUGUCGGGAAGUUAUGGCUGCUUCGGUCCGUGGUGCAUACUCACUGAAUAGCCUGGGGGUUCGGGUGUUGGCAUUACAUUGGCACCUGAGGGGACACGCUGCAGGUUCGUCCCGGAAGUAAUGGCCGGAUCCCUGAGAGUAAAUGGUCCAGGUGUGGUCACCACGGGAGAAGGUAGAUGGUGGGCAUCUGCCUCAUGACACUUCAUUUUGAAGCUCAGCUAGAAGACUGCCUGUUGAACCCUGAGCCCAUUUAGUCUUUUCAGAGUGGAGCUGUUGGCUCCUGGAGACAACCGUUGUAUAAGAUGUGGCACAUAGAGCCUCCAUGAUGACUCUGCAUGGUACAGGCUCAGCCCCCGUUUCUGGGCCUGCGAAGGAUGUUGUGGAAAGCCACAGGACCCAGAAUGAUACGAGUAAGCAGAAGAGCUUCCCACAUAGCUGGUGCAAGGUUAUUGCCUUGUAGUGCCAGAGAGAACCUGCUGCCGCUCUCCCAAAGAGAGAGCAGGACAAAGUCAACUGUCUACAUUCACCUUGGGAGGCCUUUGGCAGCUGGUGAAGGCGCCCAGACAGGAGGCACUGGGGAGGCAGGUGUUCAGCCUGGAACACAGUUCCCACAGUGAAUUUCCUGGGAAGUUGAUUGAUUGACUUUGUGUUGUGAAGUACAAAUAAAGUUUAUAAACUUUGACUCAG